GCCGAUGUAGCUCAGUUGGCAGAGCGGAUCACUCGUAAUGAUCAGGCCAUGGGUUCGAUCCCCGUCAUCGGCU
rnacentral:tRNA from 1 species